rnacentral:lncRNA from 1 species
CGCUUCUAGUAGGCCAAACUCCCAGGUGACCCCCGCAAGAAACGCGGUCCGGAGAGGGUCUGGCCCCACUGCUGGGGCAAGGGCUCUAGGCGCCCGGACCCCACGCCCGCAGCCUGCGGAGAACGUGCCGACAAGGACCUGUAGGGCCCCACUCCCCCUCCUCCCUCCCUCGGCGCAGCCCGGCCCAGGGGUCUGUCCUCCCAGGCCCAGGAAAGGAGGAAACCCACUUCCGCCGCGUCCAUGAUCUCCCGCGGCUUCUCCUGACUCUUGCGGCUGGCGCUGGCGCUGGGCAUCGGGACACGGAACUGGGCAGUGGACACCACCCUCCCUCGCAGGCUUCCAAAGUAAUUUGAAGGCCUUCCCUGACUUAAAGUGGAUGCUGCUUUGGAAAGCACUGGAAAAAUGGAUCCUGUCUUUCUUAGCCAAGGACUGGUCUCUUUUCUCCAAUGUGUCCCUAACAGAGUGGUGAGGCUGGCUCUUCCCACCAGUACAGGAAGAUCAUUCCUUAAAAGAAAUAGCCAUAUGGCUUAUAAGUGUUCUUUCCUGUAUGAAGCCCAAGCUGUCCACUUGGAGAGACAUCUGGCCAGCCCCCCGUUGUUCCAGCCAUCCCCAGUUCAGGCAUCAGACAUGUGGUGAAGAAGCCAUCCUAGAUGCCCAGCCCCAGCUACCAUCUGAUGCAACCACACUGCUCACCCCGAGCAAGAACUGCCUGCAGGAGCCUAGUAUUAUCCUCUCUCACAGAACCAUGGCAGGGAAUAAUAAAUUGUUGUUUGAAGCCAAAAAAAAAAAAAAAAAA